rnacentral:tRNA from 1 species
GCCUGGGUGGCUCAGUCGGUUGAGCAUCCGACUUCGGCUCAGGUCAUGAUCUCACGGUCCGUGAGUUCGAGCCCCGCACCGGGCU